AGCAUGUGACUUGAGGCAAAAUCCAAAAAAAUGCAAGCAUCAAGAAGAGCAAGAGAAUUCAUCACAGGCUGUUUAUAUACAACGGCAUCCAGAAUUUUUGCAUGAUUAAGAUAGCACUCCAUUUCUCAUCAAAUCACUGACAUUUUAGGGUUAUGAUAAUGUUAUUUGGAGCAGAUGGUGCUUUCUGAUGGCUUGUCUGAUUUUGGCAGUGAUCAAAUGCCAUUGCCAUUGAUUUUAGUUCUACCUGACGCACGUAUUGAGGUUGCUGCAGCCCUCAAACUAAUUGGCACCUGUGUUGAUAUCAGACCAAGGGCAUUGCUAUUGACAGAAUUUUACAGUAGGAUACUGUUUCAUUUGUAUUGUCCUUUUUUUUAACUUGCUAAAUACUAUUGGGAUACAGUGAAGAAAUCCAAGCAGUACAAUCAGUACCAGGCAAUGGAGUUAAUAGCAAUGGCUGCAAAAUGGACAAGGAACACACAGAUAGUGAUCAUGAUAUCAAAUAUUCUGAUACUGAUAUGGUGCAGAAAUACUGUCAUUUGUGAAACUGGUUGAUACCAUUGUGGACUUACUGGUAUUUCAAAAAAUAAAAAUGUUCCCAUUCUACCAAUGGUAGCUUCAUGCCCUUGUAGCUGUCCUUAUGCUACCAUAGUCCCUUAGGACAGAACUAGAAUGAGUGUGAAAGUUUUUUGCAUGAUAUAUGCAAGUACACAAUUGUAUCAGAAAUGGGUUAGGGUUCGGGUUAUAUCAUGCAAACAGAUGUACACAUUAAUGGGCCGGUGUAAGGAUAAGUGCAAAGUGAUUUGCAGCUGCAAAACACCCGUAUUGUGGCCAAAAUCUGUGUUUUGCACGUGCAGAAUGGGUUGGCUGUUGUUGAGUACAGGCAGGAAAACCUUCAGAAAAGACGGAGACGACCCCAUAUAUUCAAACCCAGGGUCAGAUUGUUUGGGAUGCUGGAGGAUAUAGUGGUAAGGCGUUACCAUCUCACUCCGCAGGUCACCCUAGACCUAAGAGCUGGAUUGACUUUCUCCACUAUAGAGGACCAUAUGGCCUCUUUGGUAGCAUAACUGAUGUUGGCUGAGGCUUUUCCAAAUAACUCAGUUUCAUGCUGAGUGACCUCAGCCAUAAGGACUCUCAGUGCCUCCUCAGAAAUCUUUUCCGUGCAUCAAGAGGACUUUGCUGCCCUUCCUGUGACAUAUAUGUUUUUUGGUUGGUUAGAUUAUCAUGCUCCACAAAUCUCACACAGCGCCUGCUGCUCUCUGUACUCCUAACUCCCCUCACCUCUGGGCUAUAAGUGCAGCCGCUAAAUAGCCCAAUGCACAGGCGGAGCUUAUUGCAACCCUCAUAAUCAUGAUUGCAUUAUUUGUGUGUGUUUAGUAAUUUGCAUUGCUCUUAAGCUUACAUAAGCCGCAGUGCAAAAUAAUUGCCUAGCCACUAGGCAAUUUGGAUUUUGCUGACGCAAUUGUUUGCACUACGCCUAUCAAUACAUCAGGCCCUAAGUACAUUGCAACUAUGCAUAGUAACAUUGUAAUAGUGGAAAUACACCUGUAUUUACUAAGUAACUAUUAAUGAAUACACAGUAAUUAGAGAGACUUAAUGUAACGUGUUAAUGUAAAAGAAUACUGUAGAAAUAACAGUAACAGCAGUUCUUUCUAUAGCCACCCUUUCUCCUCCCAACUCUUCACACAGUGAGAAUUUUAUCUCACACCAUGCCUGAGCAGUGACAGGCACUCAGCUGGAGCAAUUCAACAGAAGGCAAUCACUGCCGUUGCCCUUUAGGGAAGCCAGGUGAAUCUAGAUAAUGUGCGAGACCAGCCAAGAGGGGGCUACAGAACAGCCUUUAAAAUUAAGGAAGGAGUCGAUAUAUUUCUAUAAUCAUUUGGGGAUUGAAUCCCGCCACCCUGUGACAGGAACAAAGGAAGGUAGGCAGUCCAAAUGGAUUAGAGAUGUAAUCAUCAGCUAUCUAAGUACACAGUACUUAGAGACACUUAAUGUAAAGUGUUACCCCCCAAAAAAAUUAUAUUCAUAUUUGUCUUUGUGCACAAGUUCCUUUCCCCACAAGCUCCCUAUGAACUGAGCAUUGUGGGUAGUUUCUGAAAAAGAAAACAUUUGUGUUUUGUUUACUUUUUCAGUCUCGGAGCAACACAUUUCACAAAUCUAUUUUCUUUAAAUUGUUAUUGGCAGCCGUUACAAUUGUAAAACAAAUAAGAAACAACUUAAGAGCACUUACAGGCCACUAAACUAAAUGUCUGAGGUGUUUAUUGCUUGUUUUGUCAUUUGUAUGUGUGUUUUCACUUCUAACAAUGUUAGCGGCUGGUUUCACAUACCCUCAUUAGCACUAAUCUUGGUUUACUCAAUGUUAAUUGGGUAAAGUAAUCCAAGAUUAGAGCUAAGUGGUCUAACAAUUAAGGUUUUAGUUGAAAGUGCAUGGAUAUAGUUCUAUGCAAAGAAACACUGGGAUAACCAUGGAUAGACAGUUGAUUCAAUCAAGUGUGAUGCUCUAUUUUAUUUUUGCCACUUUUUUAGAUGGGUGCACUAUCAUCUUGAAAGUAACAAUGGCCACCACGGUACAACUGCAGCAUUGCUGGGUGGACUUCCACAGCAAUGCUUAAGUAAACUAAGUCAGAUUUAUCAUAUGACAGGCAACUUAAUUUGCAUCUGUUAUUCAGACAGAUGCUAAUAAACCAGCCAGACAGUGUAUGUUGUUUUCAUUAACAUACUCCAUCCUUAGAGUUGGCCCUUCUGUUUGAAGAUUGCCUUGCAAGACACCAACAUUUCUAAUUGUUUUUAAUUAUGUUUUACAAGGGAAGUAUAAUAUUGAUGCAUGCAAAAAUUAAUUCCUAUUCCCAAAGAUAGCCAAACUACACAAGAUGUUCAAACAGCAAACCGUUUAAAUCAAUGUGCAAUUGACAUUUUCAAUGCACAACACUAUAGAAUGGCAAGAAAUUGUAAUGAUCACAAAAAAAAAAAAACUUAAGUUUGUCAAAAGUUCUCCAGUCUAGGGGUAAAAUCUUCAAUUAUGCGUUAUGUAUCUUAAUUUAUGUUUUUGUGUUUUAGUACUGCAUCAAGCCUUACUUAAACAGUCUCAGUGGAAUACUCAGAAAGGGCACCAUCCAGUAUUACACAAGGCUAUGAAAGAGAACACAAGCCAUUCAAUGAUAUAAAGUACAUACACAAUCCUUUUAUAAAGUCUUACCUCUCUCGUCUUAAAAUCUAAAACUGCUAAAUCUUAAUCCAAGUUCAAACACAAUUUCAGGUGUAAUUACUAUAUCUGACAUACCUAUAGGAAGCUCAAAGCUAUGGACUGAGACAAUUCUCGAAAUUUAACUAAUGUAGUGCCAAACGUUUUUCAUCUUUACCCCUGUUUUUCUACCUGAUUUUAGUGUUCACUCAGCGCAGCAAUUGCCCACAACAGCUCAAGAGAACCGAAGGUCGGUGGACGUCCUCCAAUCACAUGACCAAGCCCAUUGCCUCUUAAUACCCAGGACAUCGGCUACAGAUGUUGGAAUUAAUAAAAGAAUGCCGUUAAUGAUUUGAAAAUGUGCUCCUAAGGUUGUACAACAGCAAGACCAAGGAAACAGCAUUUACAAUGGUACCUGACGCUCCUGGGAUCACCUGCCUGCUGUGUGUGAUUGCCAGCUGUGGAUGAUCAGCGGGUAGGUGUGUUCCAGCACAGCGUCAGGUAUAAAGAGGUCCUGUUUGUUCACCUCGGGGCUGCUGCAAAGCCACGGACAACGGGCUGAAGAUCGUCCACGCUACCCGAGCAUAGUGAGAGAAAUAAGUUGCUGAAAUCCUCCGAUCGCCGUGAUGGUGAACCGGGAUCGGAGCCAAAAGAAACUGCCAAAACCACCGACAGCCGGAGUCGGGGUUUGUGUUGAUACAUAAAGAUUAGUUCGGGGAUGGUAGAUCCCUUUAAAGUAUAGCGAGGUGAGCAAGCGGGACCUCCAUGCAUUAGGGAGUAGCGCACGCCGUUUUUACGGCACCUUUUAUUUUAUAGUUUUUUGUAUUGUGUUUUAUUUUGUUUUUCGUACGCUGGCCGUAUGCACUCAGUGAGCUACCAUGGUUGGUAGUGUCACGUGAGCUGUUGUGUGUAUGUGUGUAAAUAAAUCCUGCGCGCCUGCGGGGCGUGUCAAUUUCAACCUGUCUGGUCUCCUGCCUAUCACUCAGCAGCGAAUGCACGCACCCACAAGCAAGAACCCUUUCACAGGAACCAACACUUUCAGUGCUGCAGAAGAAGCAGUGCUGUAUUCAUCGGAGCACUCACACCUCAAUGUUUCCUGUGGCAUUUCACUGAACUUGGUUCUGAGGGAGCUGUCUGAUGAAAUGUCAAUGAGAUCUUCUAACAGCUUUGAUGGGACAGAGUGUGGCAGUUUAGAUUCAAUAUUCUCACUAAUGGGGUUUGUAGCCCGUAGGUGUGUAGC